UCGUAUCUCCGAGGAGGGGUGCGGUCGCGCCCCGCUCCGGCCCAACCGGCCGUGCAGCGGGCCGCCGCCCUCGACUCGCAACCCAACAAACCCUGUGCUCCUUCACGGCCAGAGGGGGCGUCCCCCCCGAAGCCGCAUUAAACAAACCCCAGUUCAAAAGAAUGUCAAACGGACUCUGUGCCGUCUACAAACUGAAA
rnacentral:misc_RNA from 1 species